CCACGUCAAGGCUGGAAAUCACAGCCCUGGAGUGUGGCUCAGUCCCGGCAGCAGCAGGAUGGGGGGAUAGGAGGAGGCCAGCCUAGUGCAGGAGGGAAGCCUCUGACCCAGCAUCAGGAGAGGACUGUUAAGUGCCUGCAUGGAAGCUUCUGGAGCUCCUGCUCCGUCGGCCCAGUGUUCAGACUACCUGUUCAGGACAAUGCCGUUGUACAGUAGUCUGCACAUUGGUUAGACUGGGCAAGGCAGAACAACGCUGGCCGACAGGAACCACACUGCUGCUUCCAAGGAGAAGACAUGUGUAUGCCUCUUUUCCCAAUCUCAUACCCAGUGUUUUUCUCCACAGGUUUUGCACACUAGGGACCAAGGAGGCCGCGGGGGAUCUUUGGAAAAGAGACGGCUACGGGGCAGACCUGCAGGAUGACUUGUAGUCUGGAAACAGAGUGAACCUGAGAGUGUCCUGGGCGUGAGUACAGGAAUAGAAAUAGAAGAAUUUAUUUAUUAAGGGGUAACUGCAGUUCUUGACGAUUUCUGAUGUAAACUUUUAAUAAAGGAAAAAGGAACCGUAUUUCUCUUUGAAUUGUAUGAGCUAAAUCAAAGAUCAAGAGUAAAAGCUCACUUUAUAAAACUUUUCCUGAAGCAGCAGGAUAGUUCAGGUGCUGGUGAAUUUAUCAGCGUGUAUACACACACACACACACACACACACACACACACACACACACACGGUAAUUAAUGUUUAAUUGUAUCUUGAUAUUACUUCAUAAGACAUUAUACAAAUAUUUUAGGGAUCAUGGAAUCUCUUCCAAAGGAAAUUAAUCAACAAUGAACGUCGUCAACUAAAACUACCCCGGAUGUAAUGACUGGUUGUCUCUGCCCAUGAGCAAAGGAAACCCGAAGGAACCAGGCCCUGGCUGGACGGAGUUGUCAUGUGUCUGCCUGUCUACACUUGCUGUGCAGAACAUCCGCUCACCUGUACAGCAGGCACAGACAGGCAGUCACAUGACAACCCAGCCUGAGUGACAUCCAGCCACUGACAGAGAGCAGUCCUCACAACAUAGCAUCUCCACCAAGAGCUGCAGCCAAACCAAGGGGUGUUGGGGCCUGGGCUUUUCAUCUGUUCAUGGAAUACUUAACUCGCAUGUAUUUAUUAUUAUUAUUUUACUUUGGUUCUAAUACUGAAACCCAUUUCCAAAAGUACAGUGAGUGGUGCAUAUGAAAUACAAUAAAACCCAUUUCUGAAAAUG